UUAGACCUCAAAUCAGGUGGGACUACCCGCUGAACUUAAGCAUAUC
rnacentral:rRNA from 1 species